rnacentral:lncRNA from 1 species
CUGCUGAAGGAAGGGAUGCUGAGCCAAGGAGCGGUGAAGACGAUCGGGGAUGUGCUGAAUGAGGAGUCCGGACACUCUAAGUCCCUCCUGGAGUCCCUGCAGGCUGACAUGAUCUUCGAGAGUGACAAGUAAGGCUCCUCCAACCCUCAGAACAGAGGAAGGAACCUUGGAUUAUUGAGUCAUUACUAUGUGCCAGGCACCCUGCUAAGCCCUUAACAGGAAUUGUCACAUUUAAUGCUAACAUCACCUGGAAAGUAGGCACUGUACUUCAGAGCCAUUUUGGUGAUGAUGCUGAGGCUCAGAAAAGUUAUGUAACUUACCCAGGGUCAUGCAACAUGGGCAAGGGCUAGAGCCAAAAUCCAAACCCAGGGCUUCAGGACUCUUCCUUGCAUGGUGGCUGAAUCCACAGGCUUUGGAGCUAGACUGUGCGUGUCAUCAUGGGACAGUCCCUUUUCUCUGGGUGUUCAUUUUCCAACGUAUAAAAUUCUACAGUAAUCCCUCCCUUACAGAGAUUAGUUAAGGUGAUGUAUGUGAAGCAUCCAGCGUGGGCCACAGGAGGCUAGUUUCCUCCUUUUUCAGACCGGGAUCUCUGCUGCAACCCAGCAAGCCAACCUUGGGCGUACCACAUUCACCCUCUCUCUUCUCUUCACCCAUGCGGCUUUUCUGAGAUCACUGGUGGCUUUGACCAGCUCCCCAAAGCCCUCAAUAUGAGCUUGAAGCCUGGCACCAUCCAUCUAGGCUCCAGGAUGAAGACAGUAGUGAGAGAUGGGCCUGAGGUCCGGAUUUCCUACCAAGUGGGCAAACCCAACUCAACGCUACACACCCUCACCGCAGACUUUGUUAUCAUUUCGCGCCUCAUCACCUUUGAGCCACCACUCUCACUGGGCAAGAUGGAUGCGCUUCGCUCGGUGCAUCACACCAGCGCCACCAAAGUGGUUCUGGCCUGCCACGAGUCCUUCUGGGAGCGGAUGGCAUCCGGGGCGGGAUCUCCAUCACCGACCGGCCCUCACGCUACAUCUACUACCCCAGCCACAGCUUCCCCAGCGGCAAGGGUGUCCUGCUAGCCUCCUACACCGUGGACGAUGAUUCCCUCUUCUUUCUAUCCAUGAACCAGGACCAGGUAGUGGAUAUCGUCUUGGAGGACCUGGCGGCCGUGCACCAGAUGCCCAAGGAGGAGCUGCGGCGCAGGUGCCCCUCGUCUGUGCUCAAGCGCUGCCUCUGGAGCCCCUCAUCAUGGGCGCUUUCACUGAGUUCACACCCCAUCAACUUGCGGACUAUUCACAGCAGCUCUUCCAGCCAGAGGACCGCAUCUACUUUGCUGGCGAGCAUACCAGCCUGCCCCACGCCUGGAUAGACACUGCCAUUAAGUCUGGCCUCCGGGCAGCUAGGGACAUCCAGGCUGCUGUGGACGAGGAGGCCACAGGGGGACAGAAGACCUUCACCAACACCCAGGACCAUGUCUAACGCUGAGAGAAAUCCCUGAGGGAAUCUGGCAGGAAGCAAGCUGCAAAGUGGGAGCUGGAGGCAGAGACCCUGGGGAGAUAUCACCAUUUGUCCCCCUGGCCCACAAACAGGAACCCCAAAAUACCAAAGAACCCAGUUGGCAAGUCCACAGGAAACAUCGCCCCCUUUUGGCGUCUCUCUCCUGCCAGCAAAGAGAAGGAUCAGCAGAGUCAGGAGAGAUAUUUGGAGAGAGAAAGAAAAACUCAAGGAUGGAGUGUGCUAGAACCAGUCCUGAGCUUGCAUAAUAGUAACAAGCAAAAGAGAAACGUUUCAGCAACACCCUGUCAUCUACAACUAGAAGCCCCUAAAGAAACAGGCAAACCCAAACCACAGCAGUGUUAAACCACAGAUUGGCCACACAAACCCGCAGCACAGCAAACUUGAGCCAAGGCCUCCCAUCUCUGCCCACCCGCAGUCCAGAUGGAUGGGAGAGAUCAGAGUUCUUUUUUCUCUUUUUGAGCCUGCUCGAGAUCUCCUGGCCUGUGGACUUUUCCUCUCCACUCUGACCUCCGCAUCACCAACCAGAACUCACCCCCCUGCUUUUGCCUCCCCCUGGGAGGACACCAAGCCCAUUCUGCAUGCUUCCUCCCCACGCUGCUCCUCACUAACACCUGCUCGGUCCUUCCAGGCCCAAGUGAAAUUAUUUCCUCUCCCAAAUCCUUCCUUAAUGGACACACAACAAACUCCGAGGAUCUCUCCUGUGAGCCACAAGCCUUCCUACCUAGAAUCCCAAACAUCUGGACUAUGGAUCUUCUUGUGUUGUUAUAUAAUUACUACAUAGGUCAUUUCUGGGUACUUGGGUCCAAGUAGGCAAAAGGAAGAAGUAAAUAAACUGGGAAACCUGAGAACAUUCUUACCAGGAGGACGCUGGAGACCAGUAUGUGAUGAAAUACAGAGUGUUGUGUCCUGAGACUGUCAUUUCACAGGAGGAAGAGAUAGAGAAAAGAAGCACAUUUUCUUACUGCAUUUGGCCUAUUUUUAAGACCCCAGCCUACUUAACUCUGAUUUUCCAAGCACCCUAUAUUAGUAAGGAUGCGUUCCGUUUCAGGUGCUGGAAAUCAAGCCCAAACUGCCUUAAGGGAAAGGGAAUGUCUUGGCUCAAAUUUCUGAAAAGUCCAGAGCGACUGGGUUCUGGAAUCAACAAGUCAUCACCGAGGUUUUCUCUUUCUCCCUUCUUGACUAUGCUUUCCUAAAUUAGUUUCUGUACUAAGUUGAAUGAUGGCGCCAAAAGUUCACAUUCACCCAAAACCUGUGAAGGUGAAUGUAUUUGGGAAUAGGGUCUUUGCAAAUGGAAUCAAGCAAAGAUGAGGUCACACUGGAUUAGGGUGGACCCUAAUCCAAUAAGCGGUGUCCUGAUAAGAAGGAGAUUUGAAUACAAACAUGUACAGAGGAAGACAGCCAUGAACCAACGAUGGAGCCAGAUUGGAGUGAUCCAUCUACAAGCCAGGGAAUCCCAAGGGUUUCUAGAAACCUCCAAAAACUAUGAGGAGGCAUGGAAUAGACUCUCCCUCACGCUCCAGGAGGAAUCAACCCUGCUGACACUUUGAUUUUGAACUUCUAGCCUCCUGCAAGAAAAUAAAUGUUUGCUCUUUUAAGCCAUCUAAUUUUUGAGUGAUUUGUUAUAGGCCCUAGGAAACCAAUACAACUUCCUUUAUUCUUCUGUUAAGGAAUACAGUCAGGAUCAACUCCAAGAUUAUGUCAUCCUAGGUCGUCAUCCAGGGAGAAGAAAGGGCUGCUGUCUCCCAGGCCAUUCAUUUAUGUUUCAUCCUGUCCAUCCACCUGCUUGGCUGCCCACCCCUCAGCCUAGAAAGUAGAUCUUGUCUGACAAGGAGCCCCUUCCGGCUGCCAGGGAAGCAGAUAACGGAAAAAUCUCUUAAGAGGAGUAUGCUAGGCAGAUAAAUGCAACAGAUGUAUACCGAAAAUUGCAACUUCUCUGGGUUAGGCUAGGGAAUAUAGCUGAGCCAUUCCAGGGCUGGGUUAAACCAGCUCCCUUGGGGCUCCCCGUGCAAGACAGUUCACCACCAACAGCCCUGGUACACACAGUGACCCUCCUAGAAACUGGCUCCAUCAAGGGAGGGGUCAUUUUCCAAACUGUCUCUUGCACUGUUUAUCUUUGGUAACCCCAUUAAUGUCAUGACAAAGGCCAUGCCUUCUUGAGGCUCUCAGAAGAGAGGAGGAACCCUGGCCCAGUGGAGUCUAAGUAGAGAAAGGAGAAGAAGGCAGGACCGGGAGAGAACAAGGUCCCUUGGGAAGAGCUCAUCAAGAACCCCUGGGCUAAGAAGAGGACCCUGAAGGAAUAAGUCAGAGAGGAGCACAGGCAAGAACAGGGAAGCAAACAGCGCUCUGUCCAUUGGAUGUAAAAAUGAGGCCCCAGGGAAUUCCCAUUGUGGCACAGUGGAAACGAAGCUGACUAGGAUCCAUGAAGAUGCAGGUUUGAUCCCUGGCCUCGCUCAGUGGGUUAAGGAUCUGGCGUUGCCAUGAGCUGUGGUGUAGGUCACAGUUGCAGCUCGGAUCCCACGUUGCUGGGGCUGUGGUAUGGUCCAGCAGCUGUAGCUCUGGUUCAACCCCUAGCCUGGGAACUUCUAUAUGCCACAGGUAUGGCCCUAAAAAGCAAAAAAAAAAAAAAAAAAAAAAAAAUGAGGCCCCAGGGGCAUGGAGUCAUCUGUGCAGAGAGGAUGGAGCAGGGUGAGGGGAAGUGGAUGGUGGAAGCCAGACUCUGUGGCUUAGAGAUAAAUGACUCCCAGCAUUUGGAUGGGAGUAUUAGGCAGAAAAUGAAAAGGUUCAAAGAUACCACCACACAGAGUUCUUAAUUACAAAAAAAGAUAACAGAAACCAAAUCUGAGUGACUUAAGCUGGAAAGAACUUGAGGAAGAAUAGCAAGAAGCUCACAAAAUUGACAAGAAGGGAAGUGGGAAGAUGCCAAAGGAGACCUGUGGCCUGAGCCACAGUCAAGCUCCUGCCAUAGAAGCAGCCUGGUAAAUGGCACUGUGACCACUGAGCACUGCUGUGGCCAUUGAGACCACCACCACCAGCCAUGAGAUGCUCUUCCUGCUGCCAGAGCUGGUUCUCCACUAUCCACUGCUUCUUCAUUUCUCCCAUAUUCAAAGCCCUAGCUGGCUGAGUCUAGGUUGGUGUCCACUCCCUGGCUGCAGGGUCAGGGAAAGCUAGAAACCAACAACACUCUUUAGCUUUUGAGGUGGGAGGUGAGGUGCUACGUUCCAUCAGACCUUACCGUGGCGGAUUUCCCAGGCACAGGAAACAGGUGUUGCUGCGGGCAGGCAUAAGGCAAGGUCAAGGCCCAAAGGGAAGGACAGGGCACAGACCACCUCUGCUUCGUGAGCCAUUGACCCCCCCCCGAGUCUCGGUUCCUCAGCUGGACAGUCAGGGCCACACCCCACCGUAUCAUGGGUGAAGGGAUUAGAGAGCAUGUACAAAACGACCUAGAGAUUACAUGCCGAUAAAGUGCACAAGCAGGAGGCCUUUGCCUCUAGCGCUUGGAGAGAAUUAUUCCUCAGUUAAGGAUGAGAGCACUAAAGCUCACUGGGACCAAAUAACUUGCUGAAACCUUGACAGCCAGGCAUUGAGACAGAAUUUGCAGCCAGGGAUGCCUGAUUCAGAAGUCUAGGAUGCUGCUAGUCUCGUUGGAGGGAGGAGUAACUGGCCUGACAGAGAUGGGGCAAAAUUCAGACCAAGCAGGCAUUGAGACAGGUGAGGUGGCAGGAGCUUCGUGAAGGCCAAGAUGGGAACAGACCAGAACUGACAACUGUCUGGGUAACAUCCCUAUAAUGCUACACCGCCUCAUUUCCUUUCCUACAUGCUCUCUUGUGGAGGGAAAGAAAAAAGUAGAGUUUAUAGCUCAUAAAACCAAUAGCCUGUCUACAGGUCUCUCCGAAAAAUUUCAGUGGUUAGCCUUUUUUAUCUUUCUACAUCAGAAACUGGGAAUACCCACAGAAAAGUGGGUACCUGUAACAAUCACGCAAUAUGUGCCUUAAUAAAAGCAACAGUUGGGAAUGACUCUAACUCUCAAGAGGUAAAAGCACACCCCGUUCUUCCCCAAAAUGUACCACCCACACAAGCCACCUGGAAUCUAACUCUGGGAUUGCUAAGCUGAAGCUCACUCUAGAAGACUUGAGAGUCUUGAGCAAGCUCCCUUGGAGUCCCUGGGCAUGGCAUAUUUUCAUGCCCCCGGGGGUACCCUUAGAAUACCGUGAGUACAUGAAGGGCCAGGUGCUAGAGUUCCAGAUUAAGAAGCAGUGCCAGAACUUGGAGUUGAGCCCCUUUGGAUGCCAAGAACCCAUUAACAGUUCCCAGGAAAAAGGGUGAGGCAGGAGGGUGGAGAAGGAAGAGAUAGGGGACCCUGCCAGGAACAAAAACUCAGCCCCUCUUCACCCUCCUUUUCCAAGCAUUUAAUACUCAUUGUUGAUGGUUAGUCUUUCUGCUUCACAGACAAGGAAUUGAGGCUCUGAGAGUGAGAUCAAUCCAGGAUGCAGGUGUGAGAGCCUAGACUAGAUGGUAGUAAUAACAGCCGUCAUUAUUGAGUCUUGGUUCAAGUAUUGUGCCAGAACCAUGCAUUCCUUUUCUAACUGAAUCCCCAACCCCUGAAAAACAACCUCUAUGAAACAGUUGUGAUUGUCACCUCCACUUUACAAAAUAAGGAAUUAAGAACCCAGAAAGCUUGUUUUGCACUAAGUUGCAUAAACAGGAUUCUCUAUCUGGUACCCUCUGUGUCUACUAAAAUUUUAGUCAAACAUGUAAAUUAAAUCAAAAUAUCUCCCAAAUUCCCUGUGAUAAGAAGUGAGGCAAACCAAAACAAAGCCAGCCCUAUAAUUAUCUUUAAAACCACUUAAAACAAAAGCAUCAGAAUGCUGCUGGUUCUUUGAAGCUCUAGUUGUCUGAAGGGCUUCCAUUCAGUGCCAGGGGUACGGCCCCCAUCUGUCUCUCCAAGGCUAGAAAAGAAGGAAAUAAAAUUUCUGGUAAUACUCCAAGGAGAUGCAAAUUAAACUUUAGGAGGCACUUUGGACUGUGCUCCUGGGAAGAUUACAAAAUUUCUUUUUCUACAAAUAGUCCCAUCUUGAAGCCCCGUGAGCAUGGGGUUGAAGGAAUGAGAGGCAGCCACUGCACCCAGGCUAUUGUGCACCUGACAGGUAGCUGAAAUCAAAGCUUCUCAAGUUCAUCCAGUGCAAUGGCAAUGCUGACUCUUCGAUGUAUGGCAGCACUAGAGUAGGUCUUUGAGACUAAUGCUGAGUUCUGGAGCUACUCAGAAAAAGAGGGCAAUUCAAAAAGAGUCACCUCAUAUUCCAUCAACAGCAGUGUGCCACACUCCACUCCAAGAGGAAGGCAGGGAGUGUUCAUGAACUAAAUGUGUGCUAAAGAUCAUGAAGCCAGACCCCCUUUUAAAACUGGAAAACUGAAAAGCCCAGAAGAAUUAAAAACACAGUCAAGGAAAACAGAAUGUAAAAAACUUGGCAGUUUGAUUUGAAAAAUAACUAAAGGGAAUUUUUAGAAGUGAAAAAUAUUAGAAACACAGGGAUAGAUUUAAUAGAAGAUUAGACUUAAUUGAAAAGGUAAUUCGUAAACUUGAAUAAAGAGCUGAAGAAAAUUUGUCUCUAUUUAGAAACAAAUUAGGAAAAAAGAGAUGAAAAUAUACAAAAAGAACCAUGUAGAGUAGAGGGAGAACAUUCAGCAUAAAUUUUAUCUGAUGUAGCAGUAAGGAAUACUAGAAUGAUAGAAAGAUAAUAUUGAAGAAAUAAUAACUGAGAAUUCUCCAGAAUUAAAGAAACACAUAAAACAAAUUAAGAAAGUCCAAGUCCAUGAUUUUCUUUCCUGUGGAAUGUUUCCUUUGUGCCAUAUAUUAGAUUCUAGAUAUAAGUGAUAUAUAAUAUUUGUCUUUUUCUUUCUGACUUCACUCAGUAUGAGAGUCUCUAGUUCCAACCAUGUUGCUGCAAAUGACAUUAUUUUGUUCUUUUGUAUGGCUGAGUAGUAUUCCAUUGUGUAUAUAUACCACAUCUUCCUAAUCCAAUCGUCUGUCGAUGGACAUUUGGGUUGUUU